CUCGUGUUCCUCUAAGAAGAGAGACGGUCAGAGAAUUGAGAGAGAGAGAGAGAGAGAGAGAGAGAAGAUAUGGAGUUCAGAGAAGACCCGACGGUCGGUCACCACCACCAUCGCUUCUAGAUCCGUCUUCACCGGAGUCGCCACCCCCACCGUCAGGCUCGUGAUAAACACCACUGGUCACCUCUUUGUCUCUUCACAACUGGGAUCUCCGUCUUUUUAUGUUCUCUUCGUCACCGGAGUCAUGCCUCACCGUCGCUAUUAAGCUUGAAAGUGUGAAGCUUUGACUUGAUUCUUAAUAAACUUAAUGGAUUUCAUGAGUUUUAUCACCUCGUGAUCACCAAUCUAUCUACAUUCUUGGGUUUGUUGUUUGUUUGCUGCUGUUUUCACUGUUAGUGAGUGACAGUUCUUCUGAUAAUAGAGUAUCGGCUUGUGAGCGAUUCAAUGAGUCCUUCUCUGUAUCCGAUUGAGAACUCUGAGUUUUUAUCACUUAUUUGUCAGUUGAAAGUUUUGUUCUUUAUUACAGUUAAUGUGUUGCGUCAGGUGGGAGUACGUGAUGGAAUACAUCAAGGAGACCCAAUAUCAGUGGCUUUUAAGACUGGAGAGUUAUAUUCAUAGGUGGAUUAACAUAUGGUCUUUUAGCUACUGAGUAUGGGGCUUCUCUCUUUUGACGAAUAUCUUACCUUCUGUCUUCACCGGAAUUACUACCACCACCGCUGGACAGAUUGUUUUAUUUUCAAGAGUUGAAGACUCGAGUCUAGUGGAUGUUGGAUCAAGUUAGUGAUGGGGACAUUAGAUGAAGUUGGAGUCACGCGAGAGAGAAGGUAGGAGAUGGUAAUAAAUGCAGAAGAAGCUUGAAGGUGGUGGAGCCGUGGAGGCAAGGUCAAGCAUGGAGGCCGGAGGAGGCAACAUGGCUAAGCUUAUUUGUUUUUUAGGUUUAGGUUUAGUGUAAACCGAUAACAAUAGGUUUUUUUCCUGGUUUGAUUGUUUUAUCUCUGAAGUUAAAUCAUUUAUGGAAAUACGGUUAUAAACUUUUCAUGUUUAAUGUAAAAUUCGCAAUUUCAUU